rnacentral:lncRNA from 1 species
UGUCCUAUAAAUAGUUCCUUCUCGGGUACUCCUUCUCUAUCGCAUCAUUCUACAGCCCCAACUCCACUUUUCUGGCGGCGGCGCUGUUCGAGAGUUCCAAGAACUGCAAUGAAGGCUUUUCUCCACCAACCUCAAAGUCUUCGAUCAUCCUCUUCACAAGGAGAUGGCCAUCAACUUCGCUAUUUCUGAGGUCAGUUCAUCACCUUAACUCUCGUACUUUGACCAUAUCCUUGUUCAUCCGCAAUCUAUUUUACUGAAUAUUCUUUUCCUUUUUUAUUUUCUUUUGUUCUUCUUUUUAUCCCAAAAACCAUUAGGAUCUGUCCAAUCAAAUUGUCAUCCCUACCGAUCAGCCUCCUUUUCACGCUCCAGCCUCCUUUUCUGUGUCCUAGUCAACCUCUCUGGACACCAUGGCGGAAGUUGUUGCUGCUUUACCGAUGGGCGAUGAUUCUCCCUUGGCUCCAUCCGAUAAGUAUUAGCGUCCCUGCAAAAUAUGAACUCAUCGGGAACCCGUGCAUUAGCCAUCUCUUCAAGUUCUUCCUGGUUCUUGGGAAAAUAUUCAACACGAUCACCAAGCCUAUCGUGCACACUGAGCCUGCCCCCCAGUCGAUCAUGAACCGAUGCUCUCCCCCUAAUCGGCCCAUCAAACCAGCGGUUAUUGUUCUGAUACUGCCGAUUUGAUCUGUCAUACCGAUCAUAACCAUUACAUUUCGGGCAGUCUCUGACAGUAGGAAGCUUGAUAUUUUCCUCCCAACAAUGAAUGAAGAACGGGCAAUUCUAGUGAUCCCUGUGCCGAUUCCAUUCUUGUCGGCGUCUUUCUUCUUCCCGAUGAUAAUCUUCUUGCUGGCGCCGAUAUCGAUCCUCACGUUGCUGCCAAGUUUCCCGAGGCCUUCUGUGAGUUAUUACAAUACC